CCCUUAGAUGUUCUGGGCUGCACGCGCGCUACACUGAUGCGCUCAACGAGUUUAUGACCUUGCCCGGAAGGGUUGGGUAAUCUUCUUAAAACGCAUCGUGAUGGGGAUAGAUUAUUGCAAUUAUUAAUCUUCAACGAGGAAUUCCUAGUAAGCGCGAGUCAUCAGCUCGUGCUGAUUACGUCCCUGCCCUUUGUACACACCGCCCGUCGCACCUACCGAUUGAAUGGUCCGGUGAAGCCUCGGGAUUGUGGCGAGUUCCCUUUAUUGGGAGUUUGUCGCGAGAACUUGUCUAAACCUUAUCAUUUAGAGGAAGGUGAAGUCGUAACA
rnacentral:rRNA from 1 species